CCUACGGGCGGCUGCAGUGAGGGAUAUUGGACAAUGGAUGGAAAUCUGAUCCAGCCAUGCCGCGUGCAGGAAGACGGCCCUAUGGGUUGUAAACUGCUUUUAUACGGGAGCAAUAAGGUCUACGCGUAGACUGAUGAGAGUACCGUAUGAAUAAGCAUCGGCUAACUCCGUGCCAGCAGCCGCGGUAAUACGGAGGAUGCGAGCGUUAUCCGGAUUUAUUGGGUUUAAAGGGUGCGUAGGCGGCUUUGUAAGUCAGCGGUGAAAUUUUGCAGCUUAACUGUAACAGUGCCGUUGAUACUGUGAGGCUAGGAUUUGGUUGCUGUGGGUGGAAUGUGUGGUGUAGCGGUGAAAUGCUUAGAGAUCACACAGAAUAUCGAUUGCGAAGGCAGCUCACAAAGCCAAGAUUGACGCUGAGGCACGAAAGUGUGGGGAUCAAACAGGAUUAGAUACCCCUGUAGUC
rnacentral:rRNA from 1 species